UAUGCCGGACGUGAUAAUGCAUAUAAUCGUCGAAUCUCUACGGAGCACAUGUACUAAACAAACCACUCGACGCGUCGCUCACAGGCAUCUGUUUUCUUGUUUAUCCGCAAUCCUUUCGGCCUCCAAGGCUGGGUACAUGGUGCCAUAUCAACUCUAUACAUGCGGAUGGUAUCAUUGUCUAACUAAUUAUUGUAUAACCGAAAAAAUCAAGCUCCGUAGACUAUUGACAAUUAUCUCUAUAUAAGAGGCCCUAGACCAAUCCAAUAACUUUGACACUCCAUCACUGAAACAAGAUGUAGGGAUUAUACUUAGUCCUUGCUCUUCUUCUUCUUCUGCAAUGCGGUCACGGCAUUCACAGCAGCUUCCUCCUCCUUGGUCUUCCUCUUCUUAUCCUUCUUGUUCUUCUCAGCGGCAGCAAGAGUAGGAGCAGGAAUAGGAGCAACAGGAGUCUGCAUCGAUGAUGAGCAUAUACUUUAGUCAUAGACAGCGAGGCGAGCUUACAGAGUCCCCUUCGGAGGAGUCAUCGUCAGAAGAAUCGUCGGAAAUAUCCAUGAGUGCAGGGUCCACCUCAACGGUAUCCUUCUUGGCGUAGGCUUCCUCUUCAGCUCGGAAGUUGUUAUGGGCGGCGGCAUAGGCGUCCUCAAAGAUCUAAACGAAUCAUCAGCAAAAGCCCAAACUUCCUCGAUUACCAAAUCCACAGAAUUGACUUACCUUCUUCUCGCUAUCUGGCAACUCCUUCCAUCUCUGAGAGAUUAUUUGUAACACAUCCUUAUAAGGCAUGCCAGGGUUUGAGGUCCUAAUGUCAUCACGAACUUCAUUCUGGAAUAAGAUGUAUGCACUAGGAGGCCUCUUGGGUGCGUUGGGGUCCCUGAUCUUCUUUUCCUUCUUCUUACGCUCCUUCUUGCCAGUGCUUCCGACACCGGCGUCAGCCAAUCCAGAGGCAAGAGCGACAGCAAGAGGGCCGCCGGCAGUGAGGGGUUGGAGGAGGUCAGGCUUGGAGAGAUGGACGGGAGAGAGGGAGGUGUACUCCUCAAUGACUUGGACGCAGCGCGUCAUGGCAGAAGAGACUUCGCGAAGAGACUGGAUCAUCUGUGUAUUGAAAGAUGAACAACGUAGUCUUUGCAAAAGUAGAUGAUGUGCACUUACCUCGAUUCGCUUGGCUUCCAUUUCUUCCCAGCUAGGAGCAGACAUUUGGUGUAUGUAACGUGUCUAAAC
rnacentral:sRNA from 1 species